UAUAGUUCUGUAAAUUAUUCAAUUAAUUUUUAUAUGGACAGGGACAACACUCUCCACAUGGGCAGGGAUAACACGCUACUUGUUUGAUGAAAUGCUUUAGCCAAAUCCUUUUUUGGAUGAAACCGUGCUAUCAAUUGGACUUGAGACCACCUUUCUCAAUUGGGAUCAGCGGCCAAGUCAAUGUUACAAAGACAACUAGUCUGGAAAUCUGGGAAGAUAUAGUGUUCAUGGUGGAUAUGUUUGUUGCAGGCAUUGGAACUGGUGAAACUAUUUCUGGCGUUGGCUAUUUUCUGAAAGACAAAAAUCCUAACAUAAAGGUCCACAUAAGAUUCAAGGUAUUGGAGCAGGUUUUGUACCCGGGAAUUUAGACCUUGAAGUUGUUGAUGAAGUCAUAGAGGUAUGGUUUUCUUCCACCCUUAUUUAUUCCUGCU